UCAUGGAUCUAUCUAUGUUGAAGUGUGUUGUACAACUGGUCCAGCCAGCUAGCUCGACUACAAAUCCUAUGGGUUUACUUGUGUGGCAAUAUGUCAUGAAACUAUUUCCGUUGCCAAUUCCCCAUACCUCUGUUUUAAGUUGGACAGUUAUUUGUCACUGGCAUUAGUAUAUGCACCUAGUAUUAAUAAACCAGUUUACCAAAGAACAUGUAAGAAGAUUAACUGACUGCAAUAAUAUGACUGAAAGUUGAAAACGGUACACAUUUCUGAUAAAAAAAAUAAGAAGAGUAUUUGGGGACUUUGAAAAUAAUCUCUUUAUGGAAUCUGUUACAUAUUGCUUGCACCAUAAGAAAUUUGCAUAUCUGAAUUCUUACACAUAUUAUGUGGAUUUUUUUGUUAGUUUUUAGUUCUACUGCCAAAGGCAGAAGAGCUUAUGGGAUGGCAUGGUGUCUGUCUGUCUGUGUGUGUGUUAGACGUUGUCUUGUUUAUCCGAUAAAGUCCACAGUUUUCAUCCGAUUCUUUUCAAACUUACUCAGUGUCUUUAUAUUAAUGAGGACUCGAACCCUAUUGAUUUUCAGGUCACUGGGUCAAAGGUCAAGGUCACAGUGACUCGAAACAGUAAAAACUUGUUUAUCCGAUAAAGUCCACAGUUUUCAUCCGAUUCUUUUUAAACUUGCUCAGUGUCUUCAUAUUAAUGAGGACUCGAACCCUAUUGAUUUUCAGGUCACUGGGUUAAAGGUCAAGGUCACAGUGACUCGAAAUAGUAAAAUGGUUUCCAGAUGUUAACUCAAGAAUGCUUAGGCCUAGGAUCAUGAAACUUCAUAGGUACAUUGAUUAUGACUGGCUGAUGACCCCUAUUGAUUUUCAGGUCGCUAGGUCAAAGGUCAAGGUCACAGUGACAGUGUUUAAAGCAGUAGAGCGAUUCAGGCCCUCAUGGGCCUCUUGUUAUGUUCUUGUUCUGAAAAAUGUUAAGCCUUGGAUAGAAUUUAAAAAAUUACCACAAGUUACAGACCCCAAAAAUACUGUAAUUUCUUGAUUAUAAGACAGGAAAAUGUCCCUAAA